UACGUAGGGGGCAAGCGUUGUCCGGAUUUAUUGGGCGUAAAGAGCGUGUAGGCGGCUUCACAGGUCCGCUGUGAAAACUCGAGGCUCAACCUCGAGAUGUCGGUGGAAACCGUGUGGCUAGAGUCCGGAAGAGGAGAGUGGAAUUCCCGGUGUAGCGGUGAAAUACGUAGAGAUUGGGAAGAACACCAGUGGCGAAGGCGGCUAUCUGGACGGUUUCUGACACUAAGACACGAAAGCGUGGGUAGCAAACAGG
rnacentral:rRNA from 1 species